CUACACACAUAAUUCAAUAGACUCGACCGACUCGACAUACACAACCGACUCGACUCCAUUCAUCCUAGACGUAUGGACCUAUAGCCGUUUACGGAUGUCCCUACGCGUUCCGGCCUGCCCUGGAAGGGUGCCUCUUUCGAGCAUCCGUCCCCCUCCAGCUCCUACAUGGCUAUCCGAAUUGCAGCACGUUGGCCCAUCCUGGCACUGUCCGCCCCCGGUCAUAAUAGCCAUAAUUACGCCACGACUCGGCAUUGACUCGAUCUUAUGGCGCCACUACACAUUUCCCGUGGGUACCUCUUGUUAGGCUACUGUCCCACGGUUCACUCCCGCGGGUACCUCUUGUUAGGCUACUGUCCCGUGGGCUCCUGCGGGUACCUCUUGUUAGGCUACUGUCCCGUGGGCUCCUGCGGGUUCCUCUUGUUAGGCUACUGUCCCGCAGGUCACACAUCUUAGACUCUAGAUGCCCAC
rnacentral:lncRNA from 1 species